UUUCCCCUGCCAUGUACGUGCUGGGAAAGCUUUUCUGAGCCAACGUCAGAAGAGAAGGGAGCGCAAAGGAGUUGUGGUGAGCAUGCCUCUGGUAAGAGGAAGCCUAAAGCAACUCUGGCGGCACCCACCUGGUUUACCAGGUUCACGAAUCCUUUCCCACACGGCAUUAAGGCGGGGGAUUU
rnacentral:other from 1 species